UCUUGAUCUCUCCAUUUUAUUCUUAAUCAAUUACUAUAGUCUUAUAGAUAGACAGAUAGGUCCUGUCUUUAACUUUAAGUGAAACCUUUCUGCUCUAACAUUAGUUAGUUUCAAAUAGUAGUAGUAGUAGUAGUAUUAAGUUCAUUCUUGGCAGUCCUUUUCUAUUUCAAAAUUCUAGUAAUUAAAAAGAAAAAAAAGGUGGGAUUUCAUUCUUUUGCUUUGUUUAUCUUUCAAUGAUGAUAUACUAACUGGGUUUUGUAAUAUGAGUUCUAAAUGGUAAUUUGAUUGUAUUUUUCUUGUUCUGUCUGCCAUGGGAUUCAAGAGAACGCAUUCUUUGAAUUCAGGCUAAUGGGUGAAGCAGAAGUGAGAAGAGCUAGCAUAGGAAUUCCCAAGAGCAAGUGCAAUGGAACCCACAAAGCUUUUGAUCCAUCAUUUCUUGUGCAGCUCCCAAACAAGCUUCAAGAUUGUAUUAAGGUUAGUCAUUUUUCCAUCCAUGUUGGAUAAAUUAGCAUUGUGAUAGCUUAAUGAAAGGAAAUUCUACUGUAAUCUUGCAAUAGUCACAACUCAAGAACUUAUUAAAAGAUGGCAAGGGCGAAAACUUGGUGAGAAAAGAGAAAGGAUCAUUUGCUUCUACCGCUGCUCCUGCCUUGGGGAUUGAUUUGGAGAGGCAAUUGCAAGCCUGGAGAGAAAAUCCUGCUUGGACUGAUCAACCUCCACAAAUAAAGGUGAACAACUUUUAAAGAAACUGCAUGUCGUAUUGGCCAGUUAGUUGCCUUUCAAUGCUAAGGAGUAGCAGGGUUGAUUGAGUCAUAAAAAAUUAAUGUGCUUGGAAUCUCAUGUUAUUCUUGGCAGGUCAGUGUACCAAGAGGUUCUCUCUGCAACCUCAAUGCCAAAGUGGAUAUCGGGUUGCCCCCGGAUGCAGUGUAUGAUAUUGUGACUGACCCAGAUAAUAGGAGAGUUUUCAAAAAUAUCAAGGUAAGUUGAGUCUUUCUCAUCAUCUGCUGCUUUCAUUUCAACCGAAGUAUAACUAUUUGUUAAAACGCUGUUAGAUCAUCAAAGUUCGGCAUUCUCCUUAGUUGUGGGAAUUAGUCUUCAAUUUAAAAUUAAAAAAGAAAAGAAAAGAAAAGACGUCCAUUUGAUUUGUUCUUGUAACUAUUAUUUGCUUGAUUAAAUAGUAUUAAGCAUCCAAUUGAAAUUCCAUUUUGAUGUGAGAAAAAACUGUUUUAUGUCCAGGAAGUGCUAUCCAGGAGAGUUUUGCUUGAUGAAGGUCACAGGCAGGUGGUUGAUGUAGAGCAAGCUGCUAUUUGGAAAUUUCUUUGGUGGUCAGGGACUAUAUCAGUUCAUGUUUUGGUUGAUCAGAACAGACAAGAUCACUCAGUAAGGAUCAACAUUUUUCUUUCCACUGUUUCUAUUGCUGCCAUAAGUAAUCAGAAGCUUGUUUUCAACCCAUCUGGUGAAGAUCUGUUUGUUCUCUUCAUGGCAUGUUAUCUGUGAGUCAGAAUUCUUGAAUAAAUCCUUAAUGUGGAAAUGCAAGUGGGAAUGCAUUUCACAACGUAUAUGGAUGGUUUUUCACUUUGGGGAGUGGUAGUUGUGGGAAUGCAUGUAGAUUGGGUGAAUUUGGUGAGAUAUCAUUGGAUAACUUUGCUCCUUAGGAAACUCAAAUUCCACAAGACCAAAAUUUCUCUGUUCACCUCAGAAAACGGAUGUUUUAGAGAACUUUUGGCAGUAACAAUAACAGAAACCUAGUUGAUACAAAAACUGAUUCAUCUAAUUAUGUUGGCUAACCACCAUCUAAUUCCUGAUUUACCUUGUAGUCAUAGUUUUAGUUCUACCAUAAUAGGGCACCAUCAUUACCAUAAACUUGUCUAAUCCAAUGGCAAUUCUCUUAUGUCUGGUACUUGCUUGACAGAUGAACUUCAAGCAAGUGAAAACUGGGUUCAUGAAAAGAUUCGAAGGUUGCUGGAAAGUGGAACCUAUAUUUGUUGAUGAAGCAAUCUGCUAUCCAUUUAAACCUAAAACAUUGGCGGACUAUUGUUCAUGUACAAGGGGGAAAGGAAGGAUAGGGUCGAAGGUGAGCUUGGAGCAGUUAAUCCAACCAGCAAUUGUUCCACCGCCACCAAUUUCCUGGUACCUAAGAGGAAUCACCACCAGGACUACUGAAAUGAUUGUAAAUGAUCUGGUCGCUGAAGCAGGCAGAAUCAGGGUAGGUUUUGAUGCUGAAAAAUGUGAAGAUUGGAGCUUGUAUGAUGAAAAACAACCUAACAAGUCAUCUAAUAUUAAAGAAAGAUGGGCUCUACAUAGAAGAAAUGCAAAGAAGCGUCCUAGAAAAUUGUUGACUGCUAAAAGAUCAUCUUUUGGUUCAAGUAACAGUUAAACUACAAUUUGUAUUCCAAUUGUAUUUGUAUCAGUUCAACAGAGAUAAACAGCAAUGCCUAUAUAUAUUAUGAUCUGUCUAAAGAAUGAGAUUGUUGUGACUGCUCUUUAAAAUGCUCAGUUGUAUCACCUCUGAUAACCCUACUUCGAAAUAUGCAGAGCGCAAUUUACCUGUUAGAGGAGGGGAGAGCUUUCAUCAACCUUCUUUAUGCCUGUGCUUACUGGUUAUCUGCUGCCCUUUGUUAUUAUAAUCCUAGAAGAAAGUGGUUAUGGAAAGAGGAUCUAGUGAGCUGCAGCUCAUGGGCGAAGUACCAUUCUCAUGAAUACUCGGUGGUCACCACAUCGUGGCUGCUUUAUUUUUUACCAGGCAAUGCAAGUCGUGGGCAAAACCCAAUGUUGUUUAACGUAACGAGAUUUCUCUAAUUUUAAAAGCACGGGAAUAUAUGAGCUACAAUUUGCAUUAGGUUUACCCAGAAAGUUAAAAAUCAAAAUGGAAUUCAAAUCAGUUCUAGUAUAAUGUAAUAUGUUUAAGUGAAAGCUCACAAGGACAGGUCCUGGCUUCAAAUCAAUCCUUGGAAAGCAUGUGGAUUUUCAUGGAAUACCAGGUGCGCAAGCUUUCCCGCAACAGACAAGGUGGAGCCUUGUCAGUCCAAGGGUUGCACGACCAACUUGUUCGAAGUAGUGGAGAACUAAUUGUGGUGAUUCCAAGGAAUCCUCAAAUACCCCAACGCUUGUAAAUAUCAACAAAAAGAAAAUUAGUUGAAGUAAAAGUUCACAUGUUAAACUAAUCUGCAAUGAUGAAAUUGAUUUUAUUGAAGGAUGAAGUUACAGAAUGUAGUACUGUAAAUUACAACGGGGGCUAUAGAUUACAUAAAUAAUCAGGCAAAGUAACAAAUUACUUUGACAUCUCUCUCUCUCUGAACUUUUUCACUGAUACUGUUAUGCUACAGGUGCUAAAAUCUUUCUAUAAAAAUUGUUGGUCCUGAGAUGUUUAACUAUGUUACACUAGCUAUGAAUUUUUUCGACCUGUAAGCCUGCCCAGUGGUACCAACAAAUUUCCUUCAAACACCAAAGUACAAAGAAGGGAAGUUUCAGCUAAUUCUAAGCUUGAUAGACACUACACUGCAUGCUCUCAGUCUCAUUCAAAUCCCGCUCUAGUGGAUUAUAAUUUGUAUCUGUACUAGAGGAUGCAUCCACUGGGAUCUGCACUGAUUGAUUAACCAUCAAGUCACCGAGGCUGUGCCGUUCAUAGCUCAUGAAUGCACCUAGAGCUCCAAGAAAUCCUUCAUGCCGCAAAAACAUUGCUUUUGCCUCACCUUUAGACCUGCCAAAUAAAAUAAAAUAAAAUGAUGUGUAAGGAGAAAAUAUGAACUGGGAGAAGGAUAAUAUCACCAAACAAUGAUGAACUUGUUUCAGUUUUAUCAGAACAAAAUGAAUUUCUAAUUAGUUUAGUGCAUGGAAUCUCCGGUAAUGUUUAAUUGCAUUUCACUUUUCAUUAAACAUUAUUGAUGAUUUUUUUCACUUUUAAUUACCAGGACUGGUAGUUUUUUAUCAUGUAAGAAUAUCUCCAUGACAAGUUUCCCUUCCUUGCUUGCUGGCAAAUCUCAUACUGUACAGGCUGGAUGGUAUUCAUUAUCAAAAUAUGAAGAUCCACCACAGAACUUCUCGACAGUCACAAAUGCCCUCCAAAUAGGGGAAGUGAUUUUUUUGUUCAAAUAGAAAAAUUAUUUUGUUGUUGACAUGUGAAACCCCGGAUAAUUACCAGAAAUGAACUGCAACGGAAAUGGUGUCCAUAGUAUAAGAAUGACCCCGGGUGAAAAAACCUCCAAAAAAUAUGCGCUUGAGCCCAAAUCGAAGUGCAUUCAAGUAAGAGAUCUGGGAGCAGAGAAAUAAGAGGCAAUGAGAGAAUAAAAGUGUGCACUAAUUAAAAAUAACUCAGGGUAUCUCUGUUAAUUUAAGUGAUCAAUACUCCAGAUAUAAAACAAUAAAAUUUAAAAUGGCGAGUCAUGGAACAAAUGAGAGGAUAUAGAAGAAAAAAGCAGAGUGCAGAAAAUAAUCAAUUAUGUCAAGCAAAGUUUUCUAUAUGUGCCACAUAAGGUCUUGUAAAUUUAAUUUUCUAUGGCAGUGAAUAGCAUAUGAAACUCAGUCAAGUUGAAUUUUGGAUACGACUUUUUAAUCGUGACUAAACAGCACUGUAGGUGAUGGGAACCAUCUCUAAGUACUAAAUAUCCAAAGGUAAGAUGAAUCCAGCAACAAAAGCCUUGGCUAAUGGUUUUAAUCUUAUUUCUCCAAGCUAACUUGGUAAAAGGAUGGCAAAGCACUAAAUCUGCAGCAACCAAUUGAGGUGUAUGGUUGUCAGAAUGAGUCCGUUCAAUGAGUAAGGCAACACAAACAAAAUAUUCCUACAAGAAAAUCUUACUAAUAGAAAUAGCAUUUAAUGCAAGGAUGCCAUCCUGUGAAAUCAUUACCUGGCAAGUUCAUCAUACAUCACUUGCCAUGUUAGUUUGUGAGAUUUUUUGUAUGUAAAUACUUUUCCUUUAUUAAAUUUUAAUACCAUAUAAAUCUUAUAGCGUACUUCUUGACAACAUACAACAGAUGUGCCUACUGAAAGUUACCUGUCCAAUAUUAUUUGAAAUCAUUCUUAGAAGAGACCGUGAGACAUCUUCAGGUUUAUAAUCAUGAAGUUCAUUACUGUUAGAAAUUGCCCUCCCAAAGCUGGAAGCAAUGGCUGUAGAUGAGAGACCAAUCUGUCAUCAUACGAAAUGAACUGUGCAGUUAAAUUUUAAAGAUUGAAAAUCAAUGUGAAUCAUGAAGCUGUUAGGAACCUGAAAGGGCACUUCAACAUGACAAAUGAAAAUAUGUGAACUGGCAAAAAACAAUCUUAUAAAUUAAAGAAAGGACUUGAAUAUACCUUUGAAUAUUCCAUCCCACCAUAGAUAUCCCCAACAAGCAUGUCUAGAACUCUGUUAUUUCCCCGUUGACUUAACUCCAGCAACUCAUCAAAACUGAGAAAGAAAAUGCAUCGGUAUCCACUAAUAUGAAACUAUAUACAAGAGAAUUUGUAAAGGCCAAAGAUGAGGAAACAAACCAAACUACCUCUGGCAUUUUGUUAGUAACUUUCCCAAACCCCAAAAAGUGCCACCACCAACACUUGUUCCACUGACUCGCUCAAACUUUCCAUCUCCAUCCACCUGUAUUGGCACAAAACUGAAUAUCAUUUAACAUAUAAAAACAUUUUAAAUACAUAAAACAAAUCAUAAACAAUGAAGGUAAACUGAUCUGAUACUGAUAUGAGUACCUUGAUCAUGCUAACUCCAGAUCCAAUAUUAACGAGUAGAUAUGGAUACAAAUCAUUAUGGUCAAUCUGCACAAAUUCCUUCUGACCAUUCAAGUAUGUAAAAGCUUCAUGAUUGACUGCCUACUCAAAAUAACAAUCAGCAUGAAGCUAGGACAUUAGUAAAGUGAACAAGAAACAGAAUGGGCAAUUACUAAUUAUUAUCAAGCAAGGGAGGAAAAAAAAUAUGGCAUGGUAGGUAAAAGUUUCCCUCCUGAACAAACACACAUGAACAAAGGAAGUUUUCCUUUUGUUGAAGAGGGAAGAGAGGCACAGUUAUACAAUGACAUUUUCCAACUGCAAACAAAUCCGAACAGGAGGAGAAAUUUGAACCUCUUUCUUUUCUAAGAUGUAGAUGCUCAUUUCAAUAGUGGCAUCAGAAUACCACUUGCAAUACCCUCUACCAAGAAUCAGGACCUAGGGCUAGAUCUAUUGCCAUAUUCUCAAACCUCAAGCAUACAUUUCCUUGGGAUGGGGUUUAUAUUAUGGCAACUUACUAAUGCAUGACAGAGUCAGCAAAUGCCCUCUGCAGCGUGAAGUUUAUUCUUUUGAAGAUUCAACACUUUCUAGAACUCCCAAUAUCAGGGCCACACCAUACAAAAACAUCUCCAAGUUAUUGCAUUGUUCAAUUUUCUAAAAGGUUGAAUUUAAGAGCACGUCCUCCCAGGGCCCAUAGCAACUAAUACGUGGCACUUAUCAUGAUGCAUUUAUAACUUUCAUCAAAAAGAAAAAAGAUCAAUAUAAAUUGAGAUGAGACAUUUGUCUACAGAGUGUGACCAACUGAAACGAUCUUUUGUACAGACCAAAUGCUUGAGAGAAUUACAUGCAAGCUAAGUGUUUUUUGCAUGUAUACACACGAGCAAUCAGAAACAGUGAGAUUGUUUUGCAUAUGAAGCUUUCUUAAUGUUUGAAUAAAAGACAACAACUUGCUGAUAUUAAAUGUACGUGACUAUGUGGUGCUAGAAUCCCACCUUAAGCAAAAAAUUUGCUCCCGUCACAAGACAAUCCAUUUCAUCUUCCUUUUCGAGACUAAUGCCAAGCUUUUCUUUGAAAAGAUCAGAGAACUUGUAUGCCCCACCACCUGUGGCCUUCAAAUGGAUUGUAACUAGUUAACAAUGUAGCAUAUUUAGUACCUAUUCCAAACCCAAAACUACCUUGCAACAUAAAAAUGAACUAACCAAUUCAUCAGAUUAAAAACAAGUUUUUCCACCAUGGGAAUCAAACACCAGAAGCUAACUUUAAAAUAAUUGUUCAGCUUAGUGGGAACCUAUGUAUGACAGGCAAUCUAUGAUCACAGAGAAGGAAAUCUGGAUUUAAGACAGAAAACAUUGAAUAGUUGUUUUCUAAAAAAACUUGCAUUUUCUCUCAAUAAAUUUAUGUUUACAAUUAUAAUAAUGACUAUUAUUAUAAUUAUAUAACAGAGCUUUAGAGAUUUAGCUUCUUCAAAAUCAAAGUUUGGCAACAAACAACAAUAAUAUCUUACCUUAAUAAAGCUCCUGUCAUUGGUAGGGUUUUCUUGAUGCUGGAAACCUGAGUUCACCUUCAUUUUGUAAGCAAGAAACAAAACCGGCCAAAAAAUAUCACAUAAAUGAGGAAGUUAUCAACAUGAAGCAACUCCAAGAAAGACGCCUCUGCUAAGUAAUAUAAUCACAGAAUGAGUUAUAAUAGCCUGUUUGCCCACCCCCCCCACCCCAGCUACUGCAAGUAGCAUUUUGAUUAAAGACCGCUAAAAUCAGAUCAAUCCAACAUUAACAAAUAGCAAUGGCAUGAUACAUGUCUGUGUAGGCAAAAUUUGAAAAAAUCUAUCUGCAUGUGACGGCUUCCAUGUUUAUGCAUUAUCCCGUAAAGGCAUCAGAAUGAAGUAAGAUACAAAAUUUGGCCAGGUUGACAACCUAGCAGGCCAAGCUUACCCAAAAAAAAAAAUGCUUCAGAACAUCAAAUUGAAGCAUUAAUGUACACGACCAGCAAGAGUUCGGAGCAUAACGAAAUAAGCGCAAGCCAAGCCGAGUAUGAAACUAUCAGUUCAGCUUAAAUCAAACUCAGCCCUAAAGUUUGCAAGGAAGAAAACCACACCAUACUGUUGAUAACAUCUAGAGUUUCAAGAAAUGAGAAAGACAAAAGGAUAAAAAGAAAAAGGCAACAAGGAUGGUCAUGGUCACGAUAGUGUACAUACCACCAAAGAAAAGUUUGUUGGCACUAAUAAACUGCAAGCAAUCAUUGAUAUUGGUCGUCUCAAACUUGGCAAAAUGAAGCCUUCCAUUAACACCAUUGGAAAUCCGAACACUAUCAUUCAAUGGGUCCUCAUGAUCACCAGAAUCUCUCGAGAAAUAUACCAAUUUGAUUAAAGACCCUGCAAAGCAAGAUUAGCAUUUCUUUUUGUUCGCUUAUUAUUGAUUGAAAAGACAAAAAGCAAGGAAAUUUAACAGAUACAUACCUCCAAUAUCGAGGGCCAAACGAGAUAUUUGAAUUGGAUUUGAAUUCCCAUCAGUUUCAAUCUCUCUGAGACGAUCCAUCAAAGUAGUUCGUCUGCCCUUUAUCUCUCUAUCUAUCUUUAUCAGUGAUGAAUGGAUUGAGCUGCUCUGGGUGUUUGUUGUUUCUUUUCUUGGCUUCUAAAACGGAUUCUUUGAACCUAAGGAAUUGCCACUCAUAUUAUAUAGAAAGAACAUGACAGAGAAUAACUGAAGUAGUUUGGUUUUUGUGCAGGUCUGAUAACACUUUGAAGAGAGUAAUAAUUUUGAUUUUUUUUCUUCCUAUUAUGUUAGACUUUCCCCUGUCUGCAGAUGAGAUGAGAUGAUGGUACAGUGAAUGCACGUCACGACAAAUAAUCGGGGCCGCCAGCCUGCAUAGUUAUAAAAGUAAAAACACGUGCUGUUGUGUGUAGAGAGUUGAUUCUCCAAUUUAUUUUUAAAAAAUUAAAAUAAUUCUAUCUUCAUAAAAAAAAAAAAAGAGUCAACUAAUUAAUUUGUUUGAUGGAUUAAUUAGCUCAAAAGCUCUUGUAAUUUCAUGAGUUUCUUAAACUGGUCCUCGAUCAAUUAAUUUUCAUUAUCAAACACAAAAAGUUACAAUUUAGUUAAUUUCCUCUUAUUAAUCUGGCCUAUCAACAUGAAACAUGAAUUCAAGUUUCCAAUUACUCUCAAUUUUUUAUUUAUUGUCUCCUGAAAAACAUGUUGCCGAUGCAAAUUCGAUUAAAAGGUAUUUGUAAGUGUAGUAAUGGUUAUUUUUUAAAGUAUUUUUUACUCAAUAAUUUUUUAAUAAUAGUUAUUUUUAAAGUAUUUUUUAAAAAUUAUUUUUAAUAUCAGCACAUUUAACUAAUUUAAAAACAUUAAAAAUUAAUUAUAAAUAAAAAAAUCAAAUUUUACCCUAAUCGUUUAGAAAAAACACAAUACUUAAAGAGUGUUUGUUUUAACCUUUAUGGUUGAAGUUAUGUUUAUAUACAAUUUAAUUAUGUAUAAAACACAACCACAAAAACUUAUUUUUUUUAUUUUUUUUCACGAGCAACAAGGUGCACCGUUGGAUAGUAGUUUUUUGCUGACUUUUGAAAGAUGGGCUCUUGCAAGCCAGGUUUGACCGGCACUAUCCUCGACUCGAGCACCACUUGGACGGCAUCUUUUACUAGUGAAGAGGAAAUGAUUAGUUUAAAGAGCAAUAAGAAUAUGAUUAUUCGAGUCAAAUUAUGAGAAUGCGAGAGAAUAUUCCCAUGAAUUGUCACCCUAAUAAUGAAGCGAGUCCUCAAACUUUGAGGGAACAUAUCAAGAUACAGGCAGGAAAAAUAUUAUUAUUUGAAAAAAAUAAUUCAGAUCGGAUCAUAUUAAAUUUAUUUUAUUUUUAUUAAAAUCCAGCUCAACGUAGAGUUUAAGUUAAUUGGUUCGUGGAUAGUGUUUAAACAAUGAUGCCACCCCGAUCCAUGUUUAUCAUGUUUGUCUAUAGAAUCAAUCACCGUGACAGUUCAUAUUUUCUAGUCUCGCCAGCUCUACCUUUAGCAUGUUUCACAUGAGAUAGUUUAUAAUUAUUAAUAUUUAAUAUAUUUAUUGAUUUUUCAUAAAUUAAUUACAUAAUUUAUAAUUCUGUCUAGUUUUGUCUAAAAGUGCAGGUGGUGGGUUCGUGACGGCCCUCUAGUCCCCACGGCGUUUUAUCUAAAGGUGUAAAAUAGGUUGUGGAGGAUAGGUGGUUUCUUGCCAACCUACUCCAUGUUUAGAAAUACAAAAACCUAAAUUACGUGGAAAAUUACUGUACAUAUGUCGUGAUUUAGUGAAGAUUAUAACAGUAAAAUUACAGUUUUAUUCUUAAAAAAAAAUGAUAAAUUGAAUUUUAAAGGUAAAAAUAUCUUUGAGGCAACAUUUUUUUUUUAAUUUUUUGUAAUAGUUAAAUUACUGUGUGCACUUAAAAUUAAAAAAAAAAACAUUGAACUUAAAUCUAAGGGUUUUAUAGGAGUUUCACUUUACUCUAAAUAAUACAAUGACUCAAUUGACCUCGCCAUAAAGAUUUUUGACAUUGGCUUCAGGAGAUUAUUAGUAGUUUUAUAAUGUUUUUUUUUUUGUUAUUAUCAUUUAGCUUCAUGGGCAUUUUCAUCUUUGUAAAAAAAAACUAUAAGCACACGGCAGCGAGUCAGUCAUUUUGUCGACUUCAGGUGGUGUGCGUGGCUAUCUCUGGUGGUCACAACCAUGAUUAUGCCGCAUCAUGGUAUUUUUGUCUGAUUUGACACUAAUUCACUUUUUUUUUCUCUAUCCUCUACCUCAAUUUGCAUGUUGCCCCUUCAAAAAAUCACAUUAACCCUUUCAUUUCUUUUUCCUUCAAAAUUAGUCCUUGUUCUCUUAAUUGUAGAUUGAUUCUUUUUUUUUUUUAUCCUUUAACAUUAAAUUGGUUGGAAAUUAGUUUUAUUGGUUAAGCUUAGGUCUGAGAUUUCACAAGUUAUCAUUUUGGAAUAUUAAUCCAAGUUUAGGAGAUUCACCCGGGUUUGCUUCUUUUUUAAUGUUAUUAAAUCAGGGUUUUUCAUAUAUAUUAUUAAAUUCACCAAACUUAUAUCCUUCUUCUUUAAAAAUCCCAAUGUUACCUUAACAUUUUUCUUCAUACAUCCAUAAAAACUUGUCGCGGCCAGCAUUAUUGCGCCCAUCAAUGAUAUAGAUUUACUUGAGUCACUCUUUUUGUCUUUUUUUAAUUCUAUUUUUUUUUCUUUUGGCCUUCAAUAUUUAUCUCAUAUAAUUGGGCUUUCUAAUUUGUUUCGAUAUGGGUUUCAUGAUUUUAUUAUGAUCUCAUGUCCUAGAUCAUGAGUUUCGCAGGUUAACCAUGGUUAACCCGAGUUAAUCCAAUGUAUUGUCAUCUCAAUAUUUUUUAUGAAAAAAUAUGUCAUUCAAGAUAUCACUAUUUAAGUAUUUUAAAAGUAUUUCGACUGGCAUCCAUUAGUUUUUUUACUUAUUAAAAUCUUUAUAUUUUUUAAAGUUAAAAAAAUAUCUAACCCGCUACGUAGGGUGGGUUAAAAAACUAGUGGCAUCUAAUUUAUAAAAUCUGCCAUAAGUGUCAUUUCACAUUUUCUUAAAUUAAAUUGAUAAAAAAAAAUAGCUUAAUUAUCUAAUAAUCCAUUAACAAAUUAUAUUUUCAUUUGUGUUGUUAAGAAAAUGUUUUUGCUAAAGUCUUAAGAAUUUUGAGUUAAUUAAAAAUAAGUAAACAAAUAAAUGAUAUCUUUCAUGUUUUUCUUUUAAAGUGUAUCAAAAUAAGCAAAAUCAAUUUUUGAGAUGGUACUCUGAGUUAUUUGAGUCAUGUUAUCUACUCAAGCGUCAAUAUAAGCUGAUCAUGUCUCGUUCCAUGUUAGGUCAUGCAUUAUAAUACCUUGACAGUGGACUAUAUCAAGGUCUGCUUAUGCUCUCUAUAUGUUGCAUAUAGGAGUGUUCAUAGAUAUUAUUUGAUUGGAUUUAAAUUUAUAAUUGUAUCCUAACUCAAUUUUUGAUAUUUUAUAAAUUAUGAAAUUGAUCAAUUUAUUUUUUUUGUAUCCGAGUGAGUUUAAUAUAUCAGGUUGGACUAAUUUUUUUAUAGAUAUUAUAAAUAUCCAUGGGUUAAGCUUAUAUUGUUAAUUUUUAUGAGUCGGCAUUCAGAAGUGAACUUAGAGAAUUGAUUGUGGAUGUCAUGACACCCUUAAUAUAAGGUCUAAUUUUUAUACUCUCCACCACCGUUAAAUUCCAAGUUAUUUCUCAUCUUGAGUAAAGAGACAAGCUUUUUUUUGUUAAGUUAAAAAAAUAAUAAUAGAUAGUCUACUAGGAAAAAUUUCUAAAUAAAAUAAAAAUAAAUGUUCAAUCCAUAAACUAUCAAAUAUAAAAACAAAAGGAGUAUAGGGUAUAUGGGUUGGGUCAGAUUGACCAAGUUUCAAAAAUCUCAACCCAUCACCUGACCUGCAAUAUCCAUUCCUUAGGUUUUUUAACCAACUAUCAUAUGUAAUAUCCAAAUUAUUUAAUUUUGACGGGUCGAGUCAGGUUAAAUAAUGUAAAUAUUAAAGAUGAGCUGGUUUUUAACACCCUUGAUUGUUAUGUUGUUCAUUAUAACAAAUUCUAAAAGAGAUUAGUAUUUUCACUAUGCAAAUUGCAUAGUAAAACUAUGAUUUUGCCAUUGAUUGACAAAACCAAUUAGUUUUGUUUUAGAGGCAAGGAGGUCUUUUUCAUGAGACUCAUUAGUCAUUACAAGAAAAGGAAAGGUUAGAUUGUCUUUUUGUAUUUUAUUGCACAAUGUAAUUACCUUAUUACCCUUAAAAAAAAUCAUUAAGCAUUGGUCAAGGGGCACUUUAGUCUUUGAUUUAAUUUUCAAACAAUUAAAUUACAUCAUUUCCCUUGAAAUGUAAAAACCUUUGCCUUUGAUGGAGGGGUUCUUUUUCCUUUUACAUUUGAUUAUUAGGUAGUUAUUGGAUGUCAUUAGAGGCAGAAGGGUAAUUUUAUAUAUAAAAAAAAAAGAUCUAGAAGCGCAUGGAUAGUUUUCAACAGGUUCAAAAGGUGCAUGCGACAUUGUCCGAUGGCCAAAACCUUACUUCCUGGAUGGCAGCUAAAGUGUAUCGGCGUCCUCUACACAUAUAAGAAACGUGUGUGGCAUAAUUAUUAUCAAUGUGGCGCGAGUAACUUUUUUUUCUUUUUCCCUCUAUUCUACUUGAUUUUCGAGAUUGCCUUAAAAAAUUCAAAUCAACCCCUGAAGUUUGUUGCACCUCAAGAUUUUGUCUUUAUUCUCUUUGUUACAUUUUUUUUAUUAAGAAUAAUUUUUGAAAUUAAAGAUUUUUCUCAAUUUCAUUCCUAUUCUCUUUAUUACAAUUUUGUUUGUUUAGAAUAAUUUAUGAAGUUAAGGUUUUUUUUUCAGUUUCAACCUUAAUAAAUAUUUUCAUUUGUCAGAUUUUGUUGUCAUUCUUUUAUUACUAUUUAUUUUAUUCUAGAUGGUUUUUGCAAUUGUUUGUUUUUUAAAUCACAUCAUUCUUGAGUUUUUUUCCUAUCAAAUCUAAUCUUUUUUUUUUAUUGUUGUAUUUGUUUUCCUUGCAAGACUUUUUCGAUUUAUUUUUUAUUAUUAUUUCAUCCUCCAACAUUUAAUUAAUCGGGUAUUUAGCUUCUUAAUUGAGUUCAAGUCUAAAAUAUUACAGGUUGCGGGUUCAAGAGAUUAACCCCGAUUUACGAAGUUGACACGAGUUUCCUUGGUUUCUUUUCUUUUUUUCCAUCCUUCAACAUUCUGUUAUUUUUUUCUUCACUUUCUAUGGGAUAUUUUAGUGACUUUUAAAAUAGCAUGAGUUGCCUCGGUUUUUGUUUUUUUUUAUCUUUGUUAAAUUUAGCUUUUCUAAAGGAAUUUUAUUUUUAAAUUAAAUUAUAUUGAUUGAUUUCACCUUUCAACAUUUAAUUUUUCAGGUGUUGAGCCCGAGUCAAGAAAUUAAUGGAUUGUAGGUUUGAGAGUUUAACCCAACUUUAUAGUGUUCACAUGGGCUUGCUUUGUUUUUUUAAGCUCUUUUUUUUGCGAUUUCAUCCUCUAACAUUUUUUUUAUUCGCUUUAUAUGAGAUUUAUCUUUCUUUUUUAAAUAAAAAGGGUUGCCUCAGGUUUUUUUUUUAGAUCUUAAAUUUAGCUUCUUUAAAAGGAAUUUUAUUUUUUAAUUAAAUUAAAUUCAUUGAUUUCAUCUUUUAACAUUUAAUUUCACAUGUAUUGAGCUUCUUAGUUAGGUCAGGUCUAUAAUUUAACAGAUUACGGGUUUGAGAGAUUAGUAUAGGUUUACAAAGUUCACCUAGACUUGCCUGUUUUUUUUAGUUCUUUUUUUUCCUAGUUUCAUCCACUAACAUUUUGUUAUUUUUGUUUAUUCACUUUUUAUAAGAUUUUUCUAUGGUUUGAAAAUAACAAGGGUUAAAUUGGAUUUUUCUUUCCAACCUUAGGUUUUUUAAAAAGAAUUUUAUUUUUUAAUUAAAUUAAAUUAAUUGCAUGAGAGUAAGCAUGAUAUGCUCGAUUGAUGUUUUUUUUUUUGUUUGCUUUUCGGGUCACUACUUUGAUAACCCUUGCAACCUCUUUCAGUUACCAAAAUCUUAUAUUUUUCUUACUCCUUUUAAAACAUUGAUAUCACACAAAUAUUUUUUUUAUGUUGACAAAAAAUUAACUCAACCCAAACAUAGUGUAAAGUAUUUAUCUAGUGCAAUGCUAGUACCAGGAGAGGACACCUCCCUUGUCACACUCAGUUCUAGCUUAACUGGUUAAUUGAAAGUUAAUUCAAGUUAAGUUUUUAAUUGAAUAAAAUAAAAUAAAAUAGUAACAUAGUCAAACUAUCAUGUUUUAAUUAUUCAAUUGAUUUGGUGAAAUUUAAUUUUUUACUUCAAACAACUCACGAUCUUGAUGAAGCUUUGUUGUCCACAUUUACAGUAAAACUCGUCUUUCUUCUUUCUUUUUGUCCUUUCAAUUUAACUCUUUUUUUUUCAUUUUCCACUCUUUUAUUUUUUUCAAUUUCUUUAUUUUUAGAUUAUUUAUAUACCAAAACAAUUGACAAUCUUGAUGGAGCUUCAACUCCUAUUUCUUCUUCCUUUCAAUUCACCUUUUUUUUUUUAAUUUCAUCCUUGUUUUUAUUAAUUUCAUUCUCAAACUUAGAUGUGAGCAGAAAAAUUGAGAAAACAAAUCAAGAAAAAAAUAUUGAAAAAACCAAUUAAAUAAUAAUAAAAAAAGACAUUCAUUUUGGUUUCAGUUUAAGGCUUCUGAAACUGAUUGAACCAAACUAAACCAGACCUAAAAAAAUGAAUAUAAAAUAUGUUGCUUAUAAUAUGAUUUCAUAAGAUUGAAUAUAAAAGAUUUUUAUUUUUUUAAAAGUUUGUUGUUCAUAAUGACAUUAUACUUUUUUUUUGUUCCAAACCCUUAAGAUUUGCAUCUUUUUUUAUCAAAACAUGAAGUUUCAUAUUGUUUCUAAUAUAUAAAAGAGAAUAGGUCCAAUGUUUGGAUAGGUUUUACUUGCAACAAACUUUUAUGAUUACAUUUAUAUAUGUGUUGUUUGAAUAAGUUCAUUUCUUCUUCAACUUUUUUUUUCUUCUAUUUUUAUGAUUAUAUUUAUAUAUGUUGUUGAGUAUCUAUAAUUAUCCGAUCUAUUUUAUGAUUUUUUUUUGUUUUGCCCCUUAUUCUAUAAAAAUCAACUAGAUUUGGUUAUAAAAAGCCCAAACAAAUCCCAUUAAAAGACCGACAAGUUUUGUAAACCCUCAAAUAAAGACCAUAUAUUAAAAUUAAAGACUAAAAUGGAAAGGAGAAAGAAAAAAAUUAAAGUGGUAAAGAUGGUUAGAGAAAUUAUUUUCGAUUAAAAUGAAAUAGACUUGUGGUUGGAAAUUUUCGAAGUUAUUAUAUAUUAAAAGUGUAAGUAAUGACUAGAAGGGCUAAAUUGAACAAAUUAAUUGAAUUAAAAGGGAGUUUGUUUAAUGAGAUGGAUGAAAUUCAAAAACAAAACAAAAAAAAAGGGUUUAUGGGGUGAAUGUAUAAAUAAGAGAAAAUAUUGGGCCAAUGUAUUAAGAAAAGAAAUGAUGGGGUUAAUGUAAAAAUAAGAGAAAGUAUGAGGGGUUAAUAUAGAAAUUAAAAAACAUGAGGGCCUAAUAUGCACAUAAAGAAAGUAAAAGGGGGCAAGAAAUUCUUGAAAAAAAAAAGGGUGGAAGAAACUUGAUUCAUCUUGGGAUUUCUCUUUUAAUUUCUUGUUUUUAGGAGGUAAGAAAUUCUCUUAAGAAGUUGUUUUAACUUGGUUUGUGUUUUUCUUGAAUGGUUGAGUUGCUAGAGUGUUUGGUGGAGGUUUAUGAUUUAUAAAGUUAUGAAAUAGUGUUUUGGUGAUGGAAUGAUGGUAAUUGAUAUUGGUGAUGAUUGAAAAAUGGGUUAGUAGAGAAAGAGAGAGCUUUCAUUUUUUAGAAUGGAUUUGAUGAGGUUAAUAGGUUUAAUAAUUAUGUUAAAUGAUCAUAUAUAAAGGUAUUAUAUGAUAUGUUUGCUGAAAAUGAUAGAAAAAUGCUUGGGAAACACUUAGAUACUUGUUAAACUUAGAAAUAAAAAAUCAGAUAGCUUGUUUCUCAGUUUCUCUACUAAGAUUAGGAUCCUAAGAAAGAACUUGAGGUAAUUUCAUUCAUGAAAGUUAUAGACAUGGAUAUUACCUUUCAAAUGCAACUGACCUUGCUUAAAUUGGAGUGAUGAAAUGCUAGAUAUGAGAUAAAAACUGAAUAAGGGUCUAAACCGAAAUUAACAGGGUAAUUUUUCGUGCUAUUGUAAUUUGUGAAUUUAGUCAUGUAGAUGGCAAAACUGGGUUUAGUCAUCUUCAUCAAAAUUGGCGACCUAUGUGUUAGAUUUCUAGAGAAUGAAACCGCGUAUAAAACCGAGUUUUAUAACUCCAAUUAUAAUCAAAUAUUGAAUAAUAUUUUGAGUUAAUUAUGUCAAACCACGUGAAAUUGGUGAGUUGUUAACUCUUAUUUGGAAUUGUUCUUGAUUAAAAAUAUUGAAAUUGUUGUGGGAAUGGACAUGGAAAAUGUGUAUAGUUGUAAAAAGCCGGUUAUAAUCUAACCCGACCAAAAUAAAAAUCAAAUAAUAAUAAUAAUAAUAAUUGUCGCACCCGACAUCACGGCGGCCCUAAAAAUUUUUUCUUGAUUAUUAUGGAAAAAGAACAAAUUUCUGGCAUCUUGUUCUUUUAGGAAAAAUGCCUUGUUUGAGGAGUCGCCACCUAGUAUUAUGGUCACUAGGAACCCUAACUGGUCAACAGAGAUUCUAUGGCUCGGGAUUGGUUACGUAAAAGGGAAGAAAUUAUCACCCCUUAAACGUUCUACCUAAGGCAGACUGCAUUGCUGGUUUUGUCUUAAAUUGCUAAAUGUUUAUUAGUUUAUGCUAUGAUGAUUUGUUUAUAAUAUUCCUGACUCUAGCGCCAGUAAAUAUUCGACUACGAAUACUUCCAACUCUGGCGUUGGUAAGUAUUACGUAACCCAAAACAAAAAUGAAUGGUGUUCUAGCUCUUUAAAUAAACCAAUAAAAAUAAAUUUAAAUAUAUGCAUGCAUAUUUUUCUAUUUUUUAUAUUUUUCUAUUUUUAUUUUUUAUAUAUAUUUUUUAUUUUUUUAGGGCAGGGCUAGGCCCAGCCAGCCCGGCCCGGUCACUGGCCCAAGCCAGUGACCCGGCUGGGCCAAGUCAGCAAGAAGCACGCGUGGAUUGGCUCCACACGUGCAUCAUGCACAGUGCGAAGGUAAUUAAUUUACCUUCGCACCGUGCAACAUUACAUUCAAAACGAAUGUACAAAAACGAAAGCAAAAUGGCUUACCUGUUCUCUGGAGACGGUGGGGAUGGUGGCAGCGCGUUGCCCUUCGUCUGCUCACAGCCUUCCCUCCUGCUUUCCUUUGCUUCGGUGCCCGCUGUUCCUUUUCUCUUUUUGUUUUUCCCUGCUUUCUCAGUCCUUGUGAUGAAGCACUGAGGACGGUGCUGGCUUCUCCUUUCAAAAUUGGGUCUGGGUUUUGUGUUGUGUUUGUGCUGAUGUUCGUUUAUUUCUCAUUCACUAUACCCUCUCUCUCUGGUUUUUUCUGCUCGCCCCGCUCUGUUUUUUUUUUCUGUUUUCUUCCUUUUGUUCUCUGUUUCUUUUUUCUCUCCGUCCCCCCUGGUUUUGUUUUUGUCUUCCCCCCGGUUCUGUGACCCCCCUUUUUUUCUCCUUUCUUUCUUGUUUCUGAUUUGCAGGGGGCGAUCAAGAAGAUGGUGAUGUCAAUCGUUGGUUUUCUGGGUUUCGGUUUUUCUGCUCCUCGGUGUUUUUCGUUCCUUUUUUUUCCUCCUUCCGCGAGGUCGCCUUUGCCCAGCUUUUAUAAAGCCAGCGGCGGCCUCGGUGGUGGUAACGGUCGGCCUCCUAAAUGCUCUGUAACCGACGCCUUCAAUGAAGAAACGUACGCGUUGGCUGCCAACGGACGAAACGUCUCUGCCUUUAAUGGCAGAGCCGUUGCAGAGGAAGAAGACGGUGAACAGUAGCUGCAAAACGACUCCGUUUUCUAGUUCUAAAGGCUGCUUUCAAUUUGGUCCUUGUAAUUCUUAUAAUUUUGCAAUCAAGCCCCUAGUUAAAAUGUAAUUGGAUCCUUGCAUUUCCGGGCCAUUUUCAAGCUGGUCCUUGGAUUUUAAUUUUUGCAUUUUGGACCCCAAUUAAACCCCAAACUUUGAUAUUUCUUCAAUUAAAUCCCUG
rnacentral:lncRNA from 1 species